rnacentral:siRNA from 1 species
UUGAAAGUGUCGUAUCUCGGA